GGGUACAGAGAGUCACUCAGUUAAUUCAGUUUGUUUUUGUAAAAAAUAUUUUUUUAAACGUGAUUUGGUUUUCGUGGUACUCUUAUACAUUUCUUGCAGUUCUCUGGGCAGUUCGUUAAUAUAUUCGGGUAUUAAGUAGUCGUCAGUUCUCUUUCCAUACUUAUUGUUAGUUUUUGGUAGGUGGUAUUUAAGGUUUGAAUCAAGUUUACGUAAGCCUAUAGGUCUUAGUUUUUCAUUUAACAAGGUUGUAUUAUUAAUUUGGGUUAGAACAGAAAAUUUAACUUUAUCAUAUAUAUUCAUAACAUUACAAUGACGAAAGAGCUGAUUAUAGUUGUUCUUAUAAUUAUUAAGUAUGCGUUUAGGUACAAUUGUUUUUAAUAAUCUUAACUGUAAAUCUAUACAAAUAAAUAAAAUUGAAGUGUCUGU
rnacentral:misc_RNA from 1 species